rnacentral:rRNA from 1 species
UACAGAGGGUGCAAGCGUUAAUCGGAAUCACUGGGCGUAAAGAGCGCGUAGGUUGAUAAUUAAGUUGGAUGUGAAAGCCCCGGGCUCAACCUGGGAUGGUCAUUCAAGACUGGUUAUCUAGAGUAUGGUAGAGGGAAGUGGAAUUUCCGGUGUAGCGGUGAAAUGCGUAGAUAUCGGAAGGAACACCAGUGGCGAAGGCGGCUUCCUGGACCAAUACUGACACUGAGGCGCGAAAGCGUGGGGAGCGAAAGGG